UACGGAGGAUCCAAGCGUUAUCCGGAAUCAUUGGGUUUAAAGGGUCCGUAGGCGGUUUUGUAAGUCAGUGGUGAAAGCCCAUCGCUCAACGGUGGAACGGCCAUUGAUACUGCAAGACUUGAAUUACUAGGAAGUAACUAGAAUAUGUAGUGUAGCGGUGAAAUGCUUAGAUAUUACAUGGAAUACCAAUUGCGAAGGCAGGUUACUACUAGUGGAUUGACGCUGAUGGACGGAAGCGUGGGGAGCGAACAGG
rnacentral:rRNA from 1 species